GACAGAGGGUGCAAACGUUGUUCGGAAUUACUGGGCGUAAAGCGCGUGUAGGCUGCUCCGAAAGUCGGAUGUGAAAGCCCUGGGCUCAACCUAGGAAGUGCACUCGAAACUUCGGAGCUGGAGUCCUGGAGAGGAAGGCGGAAUUCUCGGUGUAGAGGUGAAAUUCGUAGAUAUCGAGAGGAACACCGGUGGCGAAGGCGGCCUUACUGGACAAUGACUGACGCUGAGACGCGAAAGCGUGGGGAGCAAACAGG
rnacentral:rRNA from 1 species